rnacentral:rRNA from 1 species
CGGAAUUAUUGGGCGUAAAGAGCUCGUAGGCCGUGUGUCACGUCUGCCGUGAAAACCUGCGGCUUAACCGUGGGCGUGCGGUGGAUACGGGCAUCACUUGAGUUCGGUAGGGGAGACUGGAAUUCCUGGUGUAGCGGUGGAAUGCGCAGAUAUCAGGAGGAACACCGGUGGCGAAGGCGGGUCUCUGGGCCGAUACUGACGCUGAGGAGCGAAAGCGUGGGGAGCGAACAGGAUUAGAUACCCUGGUAGUCCACGCCGUAAACGUUGGGCGCUAGGUGUGGGGCGCUGUUCACGUGUCCCGUGCCGUAGCUAACGCAUUAAGCGCCCCGCCUGGGGAGUACGGCCGCAAGGCUAAAAC